CAGAAAGAGUGCCUCCACUUUCCAGCGGGCCACGGAUGACUGGGCAUCAGGUAUGAGAGCCAAUGAGAUUCCCACAGCUGCCCUAGUGCGUGGUAUGUUACUCAAAAGAGAGGGUGUUUUGCAUGACAUGGGCUCAUGCGAUAUGCUUAAAUUAGUGUAUUUUGAUAUGGUGUCCAUGGGAUAGAAAUGAACUAAGUAACUGUAUGUCUCUUCUCUUCUUACUGUGUUGGAGUGAAUGUGCCAAAUCAUCAAAUUACCUUUCAGAGCUCCUCUGACCAGCUGCAGCAGUAGGUGACUCCUUUUGUUGUCUUCAUACAAGCCAAAGAGUGUGCAGCCCUGAAGCACCUGAUGCAGAGGGUUCUAGAGAGACUGAUGGGUGCUUGUGUGUCAGUGGAUGUUGAAGAGGAGGAAGAGCCUAAGCAACACAGUACCAAUGUUAACCAGAAGAGGGUGCACUGUUCCCUUGGCACGCUCUGUGACUGGUACAUUACUUUUCUUUUUCACCUUUAUUUAACCAGGUAGGCCAGUUGAGAACAAGUUCUCAUUUACAACUGCGACCUGGUCAAGAUAAAGCAAAGCAGUGCGACACAAACAACACAGAGUUACACAUGGAAUACAGAAACGUACAGUCAAUAACACAAUAGAAAAGUCUAUAUACAGUGUGUGCAAAUGAGGUAAGAUUACGGAGGUAAGGCAAUAAAUAGGCCGUAGUGGUGAAGUAAUUACAAUUUAGCAAUUAAACACUGGAGUGAUAGAUGUGCAGAAGAUGAAUGUGCAAGUAGAGAUACUGGGGUGCAAAGUAGCAAAUAUAAAUAACAGUAUGGGGAUGAGGUAGUUUGAUGGGCUAUUUACAGAUGGGCUAUGUACAGGUGCAAUGAUCUGUAAGCUGCUCUGACAGCUGAUGCUUAAAGUUAGUGAGGGAGAUAUGAGUCUCCAGCUUCAGUGAUUUUUGCAGUUCGUUCCAGUCAUUGGCAGCAGAGAACUGGAAGGGAAGGCGGGUAACGGAGGAAUUGGCUUUUGGGGGUGACCAGUGAAAUAUACCUUCUGGAGCACAUGCUACGGGUGGGUGUUGCUAUGGUGACCAGUGAGCUGAGACAAGGCGGGGCUUUAUCUAGCAAAGACUUACAGAUGACCUGGAGCCAGUGGGUUUGGCGAUGGAUAUGUAGCGAGGGACAGCCAAUGACAGCAUACAGGUCGCAGUGGUGGGUAGUAUAUGGGGCUUUGGUGACAAAACGUAUGGCACUGUGAUAGACUACAUCCAAUUUGCUGAGUAGAGUGUUGGAGGCUAUUUUGCCGAAGUCAAGGAUCGGUAGGAUAGUCAGUUUUACGAGGGUAUGUUCGGCAGCAUGAGUGAAGGAUGCUUUGUUGCGAAAUAGGAAGCUGGUUCUAGAUGUAAUUUUGGAUUGGAGAUGCUUAAUAAUGUGAGUCUGGAAGGAGAGUUUACAGUCUAACCAGUGUUAAGAGAAUUAUGUUCUCAAUGUUCAUAAACUGAACUUCAAUUAACUACUCAGUCUGCAACCCAGAAUUUGUAAGAUACUGGUUGAAAUGAAAACAGACAGAGGCCCAGCCUACAAUAGUCAAAUGUUUAUUCACGAGAAUGUUCUGAAGUCCACAAUACCAAGACAUCCAUUUUAUAGCGGCGCACAUACUUCCACACAAACAGUAGAUAUCAUACGCACAUACAUACACACGAACAGUAGGUAUCCUACACACAUACUGUAUCACUACCCCGCCGACAAAGAUUAGGGAGACCGUGAGAAUCACUCCCUGUCCUCCCCCAAGAUUAGGGAAACCGUGAGAAGUACUCCCUGCCCUCUCCCAAAUUUCUCAGUGGCCCCUAGCCAAGGUCGGCACUGAAUUUUGCUCAGACAGUCUGUGUUUAAGAUACUAUAAAGACAUAUUGUACAGAUAUAUUGUUUUCCCCUAAUUCUGACUAAAACUACACACAUCAUUUAUUAUAAUUUUACUGACUAAAACUACACACAUCAUUGAUAAUAAUUUUAUGAUUCUAAUCAAUUUCAUACAAUUAUAUGGUUUCAGGGUGGAAUAUUCUAAUCAUUCAUUUAAACAUAUAAAUUAUAUUAACACCAAACACCUAGGUAUUUGUAGUUGUCCACAUAUUCUAAGAACCAUCCAGAGUAGUGAUGCUAGACGGGCGGGCAGGUGCAGGCAGCGAUCGGUUGAAGAGCAUGCAUUUAGUUUUACUUGCAUUUAAGAGCAGUUGGAGGCCACGGAAGGAGAGUUGUAUGGCAUUGAGGCUCGUCUGGAGGUUAGUUAACACAGUGUCCAAAGAAGGGCCAGAUGUAUACAUAAUGGUGUCGUCUGCGUAAAGGUGGACCAGAGAAUCACCAGCAGCAAGAGCGACAUAAUUGAUGUAUACAGAGAAACGAGUCGGCCCGAGAAUUGAACCCUGUGGCACCCCCAUAGAGACUGCCAGAGGUACCGACAACAGGCCCUCCGAUUUGACACACUGAACUCUGUCUAAGUAGUUGGUGAACCAGGCGAGGCAGUCAUUUGAGAAACCAAGGCUGUUGUCUGCCAAUAAGAAUGUGGUGAUUGACAGAGUCGAAAGCCUUGGCCAGGUUGAUGAAUACGACUGCACAGUAUUGUCUUUUAUCGAUUGCGGUUAUGAUAUCGUUUAGGACCUUGAGCGUGGCUGAGGUGCACCCAUGACCAGCUCGGAAGACAGAUUGCGUAGCGGAGAAGGUACGGUGGGAUUGGUCGGUGAUCUGUUUUGUUAACUUGGCUUUCGAAGACCUUAGCAUGAUCCCUGACCUCUGUCUCUGUUAGAUUGAUUGAAUGGAGAAAAUACACUUGUACUUGUGAGGGUACAUCUAACAUAUGUUAAAAAUGCUAAUGCAUGACAUGCUGUAUAAUCUCCCCGUUCUUUGCAACAGUCGGUACGUGGAGCAGUUUCCUCUGAUGUUUGUCUUUGGCAUCACCACGUCUCCCAGCACCAUUCAGCACAUGCUACCCCAGUCCAUAUCCUUUCUGCUGUGCAUUGAGCUCUUCCAGUCCCUGUCCUGCACCCAACACCUGACCACUGUCAUAGACAAGGUUUUUGUGUGUGUGUGUUGACCAUGGGGCCCCCUUACCAGUUGGCUCUGCUGGAGCACUUCCACAGCCAGCCUCUCAGAGUGCUGUGCUGUAAGGAGGUGGCGGCCCUGGGCCUCGCCACUGAACUCAGCCAAGGCAUGUAGAGAAUCCAACAGCUACCAUCCUUCAUGAGGUGACUCUCACACAUACGCACAUGCAGGCCCAGAAGUCUCCAACACACACACACUUCUACCCAUAUCAUGGUUGAGUAACAUUAUUUAAAUGUGUGGUUCGUCUGUUUAAAAGUUGUUGUGAUGCUUGGUGUUUACCUCACACCCUUUCCCCCAGGUACGUAAAGAAGCAGGCUCCCCAGGAGCAAAUGGAGCUGUUGACCAGUGAUGACAAAUAUUGAGUGCUGUUGAAAGGUUCUGAACCUUAUAUUGACAAGACUGAAUUAUGAGCUUACCGUAAUGUAUUGAUUCUGGUCUUGGGUGAUUGUUUGUCCUACCACUCUUUUUAGGAAGUGUGUCAGAAACUACUUAAAGUUCUUCGCAAAUACCAUAAGAAAGAACUACUACCCCAUUCUGAGGUGUCUCCACGUUCUAACGUCUUCUCUACCGAAAUACCUUCUGAGGAAACCGGUUUGAACAUAUUGUUUAUCAAGGUUGCCAUUGAAAUUAUACCUCAAGUUAGGAAUGUAAUUGUAGAGCAUGGCACCAACUGUCUCGCCUGUUCCACAUAUGUCUCCAUUUUCAGAUAAGGGAACUGCAGAUAUCCUGUGUGGGUUUUUGGGUUUUCCAAUUAAGACCUAGACAACCAGGUGAGGGAAGUUCCUACUAAUUAGUGACCUUAAUUCACCGAUCAAGUACAAGGGUGGAGGAGCAAAAUCCUGUUGACACUCGGCCCUCCGUGGAAUGAGAUUGACAAGUGCCUUUGACUUGGUAACUCCAUAGUGGAGGCAGGGAGCUGUGGUGGAACACAAGCGACUGGGUUGACAGAACCUGAUAUCAUCGGUAUAUCUACUUGAUUACAUUAUUAGCUAUUUACAAUUGAAAUAUUAGAUAGUACUUCAGUUAAUUAAAGCAUUACCCUGUUGUGAC